AGCCCAAAGUUCUACAAACUAUGGCACUAAGAGAAGCCCUUAGAGACUUGCUAAUCUAAUUCUUUCUACUCACAGUUUAAAAAUCUGAGGUCCAGAGGUACUAAGUGAUUUGUACAAGAUAAUAUAGCCAGUUAGGAUCAUCUUUAGUCUCCUCUAUACCAUUGUCCUCAAAGGAUAGAGAAUAUGCUUUAUGUAUGAAAAGAAUGCUACCAAUCCAAGAAAGCUUCAUUUAUUGGGGAUGCCAUUAAACAAGUGAAAUACAAAUUACAAGUGACAUUGAUAUGAUCAUAAUCAUUCCUUCCUGGCUGCCAGAGAGAUUUUCUGAGAGGAACCUGCAUUUCUACAGAUGGCAUGAAAAAAAAAAUGAGGCCUGCAGAACACACCAUUAUUCCUGCGAGGCCCUCAGUUCAUUAGUUGAAGCAGCCAAGUCUUCAAGAGCCGCAACUGAUCAGCAAAUAGGAAAUGAGCAAGAGUAUAAAUUCCCAGCAAACCAAAUCAUUAACAUUUGCCGCCUGCAUCCUGGAAACACAGUAAAUCAAAUGUGUCAUCAUUUAUCAAGACAAAAUAUCAUUACUAAUUGGGAUUAAUUUGCUGCUGUGGGAUUGCUGACCUUUGCUGAAAGAAAAUAAAACUGCUCGUUAGCUGUC